rnacentral:misc_RNA from 1 species
GGAAACCUUUUAUCUUCGGAGAAUCAGGGGCUAAGCGCUUAGUUGACAAACUCAGGGUCAGUGACUCCGAGCUCAGUUGCGAGGUACGGGUCUUGCCAAUAUCGAUCAUCGGGUAUUCACCUGACCUUCAUCAAGCUGUCAGCUAGGAAUUGCGUAUAGUAAGAUGGGCGGGCUUAGAAGGCUUCUCAAAAUCCCACGAAGCACCCGGAAUCAAUCAAACGAGCCACAGACGCCAAACCAAAGGCUCUUUCAAAAGCAAAACGGACUAAAGAAUAAGAGCCUAUGGCAAGGGCAUGAGUUACGGGCAAGGAAGAUUAUCUAUCUCUAGAUAGCUAUCCAACUUCCUCCAGAAAUUAUACGUUAGAUCCGGCUCUAUGGUGCUUCUCAACGAGUCCAUCCGAACUACUUCUGAUAGAGGAUGAAAUAAGGAGAUUCUCUUCACCUCGGUUCAGAGGACCAAAGAUAAGGGAUCUAAGGGUCCCCAAACCAAUUAUCAAACCAGAGGGAUAUGGAACUACCACUACCUAUGUUCCAUUGUACACUGCUAGCAUAGAGUCCCCUGCCCAUGCUUUUCCAUAUGUGAGAACCAUUUCUAAAAGAGGUUGCAACCCCAUUCCUAUUCAGGUAUUUAGCUUUAAUGACUCUAGAGAAGAGUUUCUCACUACACUAUUUUCAGCAACAGACCAGUUGAGCUUAGCUAAAGAGACCAAGUUGUUCAGUUUUACGAAUACCCAAUCUUUGGGAACCUCUUCCCACUUAAUAGGAUGCAGACCUUUUCUAUCAGAGCCAUGACCCCAAAGGAAAUACCCUAGAGAUGCGAUCAAUGUUUCUACAGAUAGAUUUAGAGCUUAAACCACUGAAAUGACACGUUCCGAUUCAGUCUGUUAGAGCGGUCAAGCGGGAGGAGAUAUAUAUUGUUACUAGACGGGCUAGACAGACUGGCAGGAAAGAUGGAGUUAUCUAUUUAACUGAACUGCAUCUCGUGCUAUGAAUGCUAACCCAAUCAAGCAAUCCCAGCAAGGUUGUAGAGGGAAAGGAAGUUAUUAUAGCUAGAAGGGAAAGAAACUGCCUGAAAGGCAUAGGCUGGCUGCAGAGCUUAAUCCCAGAUAUAAACGCUACGAUUCACUCUUACGUGGAAGAGUAUAAAGCAGAUAGUCCUAUUCCCUAUUCCUAUCCAUAAAUAAAAAAGAAAAGACUUCCCUGCGGGAAAAGACAAUCGAAU